GACCCACCUGACUCCAUUCCGAACUCAGAAGUGAAAUGAAAUAGCGCCGAUGGUAGUGUGGGGCUUCCCCAUGUGAGAGUAGGACAUCGCCAGGC
rnacentral:rRNA from 1 species